rnacentral:rRNA from 1 species
AGUAGGUUAAAACUGGGGUGACAGGUAAAUUAAUAAGGGACACAGUAAAGCUCAGAGAUAUAUAGAAGUUUGGCGUUUCACGCUGUCUGAUCUAUAAAUAUCGGCAUACUGAGCGUUAGGUACGACGGUUAGAUCACAAGUAGGUGGUUGAUAUAGGCUGUAUGACCACACGGUGGUUUAACGUUAAAGAAAUGUUUGUAGAGUGCUUAGGUAGGAAAUAAAGAAAUCUUUCAGUAGAAGUAUUGUUAAAGACCUGUUUUUAUGUGUUGGAGAGCCAAUGUUGUAAAAUGUAUAAAAUUUAUUAAAAAAAGUUCUUUUUGUAUCAUGAUUUAUAGAGAUUAAAUAUAAAUUUCGAUUCCGUUUUAGGUAUUUGUUGCAAAAAAUGCCAAUAGAGUGUAGUAGGGGUGACAUGUUUUUCGAAAAAAUUGAUAGCUGGUUGAAAGGAAAAUAUAUUAAAGUAUAGAGGUGAAAAAACAUGGGGAUAGGGUAAUGGCGUUCAUAGUAUUAUAACUAGUAACGAAUGUUUUUCACUAUUCAGGUUUUAUAGGUUAAGCUUUAAAACGGUAAAAGAACUUUAUUAAGUAGGUAGGAUUUAUAUUGUCCAUCUUCGAGAGGUUAAUAAUAAAACAACUAGAAGUAAACGUGAGUUUAGUACCUUUCGGUCCUUGUGAAUAUUUUAAGGAGGGAUAAGUAUAAGAUCAGUAGCUGUAAAAGAGUUAAUAAAGUGAAGUACACAGGAAGUUUUUAGUAGGUCGUUUAGAGCUCAUUCUAGUGGCCUAUACUGUGAUAUUAGAGGGUUUGUAAAAUAUUAGAAAUUUUUCAAAGGAACUUUACAAAUAAAGCUUGUGCCUGUUUAACAAAAACAUCGCUUUUUGAAAACUUAAAUAAAAAGUCGAGCCUGCCCGGUGAGGUAUAUUAAACGGCUGCAACGAGAGUUGUACUAAGGUAGCGCGAUAAUUUGUCUUUUAAUUGAAGAAUGGUAGAAAGGUUGUCGCAAGUUGCUUGUCUCUGAAAAAGAAAGCGAAGUUUCCUUUUAAAUGAAAAGGUUUAAGUAAAGAUAAAAGACGAGAAGACCCUAUUGAGCUUAAUCAGGUUUUAAAUUUUAUGUGUGAUUAUUAUUUUAAACUAAAGUGUGGUUGGGGAAAGCUAGAUUUAAGAAAACAAGUCUAUAAUAGGCGAAGAUCCUCCUCGGGAGAUAAUUGGUAAAAGCUACCGUAGGGAUAACAGCGUAAUCUUUCUUGAGAGAUCUUAUUGAGGGAAAGGUUUGCGACCUCGAUGUUGGAUUAGAAAAACUUCUUGGUGCAGCAGCUAAGAGUAGUGAGACUGUUCGUCUCUUAAAUUUCUACAUGAUCUGAGUUAAGACCGGCGUAAGCUAGGUUGGUUUCUAUCUUUAGAGGUUAUGUUCAUUGUACGAAAGGAUCCGAACAUAAGGUUUAUACUUUACUACUAAUGAAAUUAGUAUACAGACUUUUAUCUGAGUCAAUAUGUGGUUGAACUAUUCAACUUAAAGUUAAUUAAAAG